CAACACUCAAGCCUAGCUUGGUCUUGGGCCUCGCCGGAGACGGCGGGCCUUAAAAUCAGUGGCGGCGCCUCUCGGGCCCUAAGCGUAGUAAUACUCCUCGCUACAGGGACCCGGUGGACGCUGGCCAGCAACCCCCAACUUUCUAA
rnacentral:misc_RNA from 2 species